CCCAGUGGGGAAUCAGAGGAGGGGGAAUGGGACAGGAGAGUGUGAAGUCCCUGGAAGCAUAGACUGGAAGGUCAACAAGGCCAAAGAGGGGGAUGGGGAGAAAGGCAUGAAGCUCCUUCCCUGGCAGAUGGCAAGUGGAAAGGCAUCACAGACGUUUUCCCCAGAAAAUACCAGGCCCAGGAUUCAGUAGCCUUGAAGACAGAAGCCCUCCCUUCUUCAUUUGCCUGGUGGUCUCCUCUUGUGCACUCACAGUCACUGGACAAGACCCAAAGACAUGCUGAUCAUGUGCUCCGAUCCGAAGACAUGAGGCCCCUCAUGUGGUAGGAAGAGCCCAGCUUUGCAGCUGCACUCCUAGGUCACUCCUGGCUCUGUCAUUUCCUAUCGUAUAACUAUAGGCAGAUGACAGAGCCUCUUUUUGCCUUGCUUUCCUUAUCUGUGAGAUGGAAUUCUCAUGCUUACCUUGCCGUGCUGCUGUGAUGGUUGAAUGAGAUCAUUUGUUCAUCCGACAAACACUAAGCAUCUACUCUGUGCCGGGAAUUGGGCUAGAUGUUGUGCAGGGCAAUAAAUAAAAAGAAUGUA